GGCAGGCAGGCAAAUCAAACUACAUCACAUAUCAAGUGCUGUUGUUGUCACUGGGUUUUAUUUAUGGCCAAGCGCGCUACUGUUUCGAAUCCCUAUCCCAAACAAAAAAUUGUCACUUGGCCAGUGAUCGCAUCAUCGCAACGAGAAAAAACGAGAAGGAAAAAGAUGGCUGAUUGGUUGCGACUUCGCCGGCGUUUUGGUUAACCGCACUGAAAAUCGAAACUGAAUGUAGACCGAGCAACAACUGAUUUCAAACUCUAGAAAGAUGGAAAAGGACUCGGAUCUCGGAUCUCGAGUGGCAUCUCCGAUUACGGGACAGGACUCCAGGACAUCGCGGCCCGUCAGGAUACUUUCAAGUAGGCUCAAGUGCUCAUUGCACUUGUCCUGGAAUUUCAAUUAACUAUUUUCCCAAAAGAAGUGCCGACGCUUCGAAGGGGGUAAAGUCGCGUUAGGUUCCCAGGCUCAAAAAAAAAAAAAAAACCCAGAUGCCGAACUCUAUGUAAAAUCAACUCCUAAAAUAAGGUAUAAAUCAUUUCAAUAUAAACGAUUUAAAGUACUUGAA